rnacentral:rRNA from 1 species
UACGGGGGGAGCAAGCGUUGUUCGGAUUUACUGGGCGUAAAGGGCGCGUAGGCGGCCACGACAAGUCACUUGUGAAAUCUCCGGGCUUAACUCGGAACGGUCAAGUGAUACUGUCGGGCUAGAGUGCGGAAGGGGCAACUGGAAUUCUCGGUGUAGCGGUGAAAUGCGUAGAGAUCGGAAAGAACACCAACGGCGAAAGCACUCUGCUGGGCCGACACUGACACUGAGAGACGAAAGCUAGGGGAGCGAAUGGG